GAUGAACGCUGGCGGCGUGCCUAAUACAUGCAAGUCGAGCGAACAGAUGAGAAGCUUGCUUCUCUGAUGUUAGCGGCGGACGGGUGAGUAACACGUGGGUAACCUACCUAUAAGACUGGGAUAACUCCGGGAAACCGGGGCUAAUACCGGCUAAUAUUUUGAACCGCAUGGUUCAAUAGUGACAGACGGUUUCGGCUGUCACUUAUAGAUGGACCCGCGCCGUAUUAGCUAGUUGGUAAAGUAACGGCUUACCAAGGCGACGAUACGUAGCCGACCUGGGAGGGUGAUCGGCCACACUGGAACUGGGACACGGUCCAGACUCCUACGGGAGGCAGCAGUAGGGAAUCUUCCGCAAUGGGCGAAAGCCUGACGGAGCAACGCCGCGUGAGUGAUGAAGGUCUUCGGAUCGUAAAACUCUGUUGUUAGGGAAGAACAAAUUUGUUAGUAACUGAACAAGUCUUGACGGUACCUAACCAGAAAGCCACGGCUAACUACGUGCCAGCAGCCGCAGUAA
rnacentral:rRNA from 1 species